rnacentral:rRNA from 1 species
GCCUACGGGGGGCAGCAGUGAGGAAUAUUGGUCAAUGGGCGAGAGCCUGAACCAGCCAAGUCGCGUGAGGGAAGACGGUCCUAUGGAUUGUAAACCUCUUUUGCCGGGGAGCAAAAAGCGGUACGUGUACCGCAUCGAGAGUACCCGGAGAAAAAGCAUCGGCUAACUCCGUGCCAGCAGCCGCGGUAAUACGGAGGAUGCGAGCGUUAUCCGGAUUUAUUGGGUUUAAAGGGUGCGUAGGCGGAAUGCCAAGUCAGCGGGAAAAUCGCGGGGCUCAACCCCGCCCCGCCGUUCGA